rnacentral:rRNA from 1 species
GGAUUAGAUACCCUGGUAGUCUAUGCCGUAAACGAUGGGUACUAGUCGGUGCGGGUAUUGACCCCUGCGCUGACGAAGCUAACGCAUUAAGUACCCCGCCUGGGGAGUACGGCCGCAAGGCUAAAACUCAAAGGAAUUGACGGGGGCCCGCACAAGCGGUGGAGCAUGUGGAUUAAUUCGACGCAACGCGCAGAACCUUACCUAGCCUUGACAUGUUAGCGUACGGGUCCCAAAAGACCCCGACCUUUUGGAACGCUUUCACAGGUGCUGCAUGGCUGUCGUCAGCUCGUGCCG